AGAGUUUGAUCCUGGCUCAGAUUGAACGCUGGCGGCAUGCCUUACACAUGCAAGUCGAACGGUAACGCGGGGCAACCUGGCGACGAGUGGCGAACGGGUGAGUAAUGCAUCGGAACGUGCCCAGUAGUGGGGGAUAGCCCGGCGAAAGCCGGAUUAAUACCGCAUACGACCUACGGGUGAAAGCGGGGGACUCGCAAGAGCCUCGCGCUAUUGGAGCGGCCGAUGUCAGAUUAGCUAGUUGGUGGGGUAAAAGCCUACCAAGGCGACGAUCUGUAGCUGGUCUGAGAGGACGACCAGCCACACUGGGACUGAGACACGGCCCAGACUCCUACGGGAGGCAGCAGUGGGGAAUUUUGGACAAUGGGCGCAAGCCUGAUCCAGCCAUGCCGCGUGCGGGAAGAAGGCCUUCGGGUUGUAAACCGCUUUUGUCAGGGAAGAAACGCUCUGGGUUAAUACCCUGGGGUAAUGACGGUACCUGAAGAAUAAGCACCGGCUAACUACGUGCCAGCAGCCGCGGUAAUACGUAGGGUGCAAGCGUUAAUCGGAAUUACUGGGCGUAAAGCGUGCGCAGGCGGUUAUGCAAGACAGAUGUGAAAUCCCCGGGCUCAACCUGGGAACUGCAUUUGUGACUGCAUAGCUAGAGUACGGUAGAGGGGGAUGGAAUUCCGCGUGUAGCAGUGAAAUGCGUAAAUAUGCGGAGGAACACCGAUGGCGAAGGCAAUCCCCUGGACCUGUACUGACGCUCAUGCACGAAAGCGUGGGGAGCAAACAGGAUUAGAUACCCUGGUAGUCCACGCCCUAAACGAUGUCAACUGGUUGUUGGACGGCUUGCUGUUCAGUAACGAAGCUAACGCGUGAAGUUGACCGCCUGGGGAGUACGGCCGCAAGGCAAAACUCAAAGGAAUUGACGGGGACCCGCACAAGCGGUGGAUGAUGUGGUUUAAUUCGAUGCAACGCGAAAAACCUUACCUACCCUUGACAUGUCAAGAAUCUUGCAGAGAUGUGAGAGUGCUCGAAAGAGAACUUGAACACAGGUGCUGCAUGGCCGUCGUCAGCUCGUGUCGUGAGAUGUUGGGUUAAGUCCCGCAACGAGCGCAACCCUUGUCAUUAGUUGCUACGAAAGGGCACUCUAAUGAGACUGCCGGUGACAAACCGGAGGAAGGUGGGGAUGACGUCAGGUCCUCAUGGCCCUUAUGGGUAGGGCUACACACGUCAUACAAUGGCCGGUACAGAGGGCUGCCAACCCGCGAGGGGGAGCUAAUCCCAGAAAACCGGUCGUAGUCCGGAUCGCAGUCUGCAACUCGACUGCGUGAAGUCGGAAUCGCUAGUAAUCGCGGAUCAGCUUGCCGCGGUGAAUACGUUCCCGGGUCUUGUACACACCGCCCGUCACACCAUGGGAGCGGGUUCUGCCAGAAGUAGUUAGCCUAACCGCAAGGAGGGCGAUUACCACGGCAGGGUUCGUGACUGGGGUGAAGUCGUAACAAGGUA
rnacentral:rRNA from 1 species